GAUGAUGUUUACUUCAGAGACGCUGUUGUAAUUCCUGUUUGGAAACCUGGACAUUUCUUGUUAUCUAAACCUUUGUCAGUCUCUCAGCCCUGGGCCAUGGAAAGAGACGACUGGUUUGGACAUCGAGGGCUUUCCACGGCAAAAGUAUGGCAUCGACUGUGGCAUCUCCAUGUUGAUGGUAGGUGUGAAUAUUAGGCAGAUUUAUUUACUCUUUGUGCUUAAAAAAUAUUUACAUAAUUUUUUUAUUUUUAUUUACAGUAUGCCCUUUACAAAGUCAUGGAUGCACCCUUUGACUUCACUGUUGUAAGUUCCCUUGCUUAUUCAAAGCUAUCUAAAAAGUUAUUUUAUAUUAUGGCUGAUAUAUAUUUUUUCUAUUUUAUUAGACUGAUAUGCCAUCGUUGAGAAAAUGGUGGUGUAUCAUGCUGAUUGAAAAUCUUGACCUUGGAAGCCAUGGCAAACUCUUUGCCCACUGGACUGACACAUCUAAGGCUCUUCUUCGGGGUGAGGUGCCACCAGUUUUUAAACUGAAGAAGAGAAGGCGAGAUGACAUUCAUGAGGGGCCACUUGACAACAUUGUAGCUGGAGUUGCCUGGCUGCGUCAGAAUGCAGGUUUGCUCAGGGGGAAGGUGGUUGAGCCCGCAUUUCCGAAUAUCGACGCAAAAGAACAGCAGGAGCUCCUGAAAAGGAUCCGUUCUUCAACUGAUGAAGAAGAAAAGCAUCCCCUGCUCUUCACAUUUGAUUUUCAGGAAGACAUGGAGGUCUUCCUUAACAUGGCAGCUGAGGAGGAUCUUCGGGUCAACGCCAUGUUUCUGGGUCGCUGGGUGGACAGCCAGUGACAUUGCUGUGUGUGUGUGUGUGUGUGUGUGUGUGUGUGUGUGUGUGUGUGUGUGUGUGUGUGUGUGUGUGUGUGUGUGUGUGUGUGUGUGUGUGUGUGUGUGUGUGUGUGUGUGUGUGUGUGUUGAGGUUCUGAGUUCAGUUAUCUGUUGUGUUCUUAAUAAAGUGUUAUAACGUUUACAAUGUAUUGAUUUUUUGUAUUACUUUACUUAUUCACUUUGGUUACACACAGAGCUAAGUUAAAACACAGACUUGAGUUUGUCGUAUUUAAAUAUGGGCAAAUAAGGUGGUCCCGCAGCACAAGGUAAGACAAUAUUAUAGACAAUUAGAGCCAGAUAUUAAAUGAAUGAUGGUUCAGAGUAAGAAUUUAGGAAUGCAAAAGUGCUAAUAACAUAUGAUAAAUUAUGUUGGAAUGCAGUCGAACCUUAUGAUAUUAAGACAACAGAAUGUAACAUAGCUAGACCUAAUAUAAAUAUGUCAGAAAAGGUGAAGCUAAAGGGGAAUUGUUCUAUCUAUUCCUGUUCACUCAUACAUAGUAUUUAAAAUAAUUAUUAGCCUCAAUCUCUGAUGCCCUUCAACUUUAAUAACGAGU
rnacentral:lncRNA from 1 species